UACGUAGGGUGCGAGCGUUGUCCGGAAUUAUUGGGCGUAAAGGGCUCGUAGGCGGUCUGUCGCGUCGGGAGUGAAAACUCAGGGCUUAACCCUGAGCCUGCUUCCGAUACGGGCAGACUAGAGGUAUGCAGGGGAGAACGGAAUUCCCGGUGUAGCGGUGAAAUGCGCAGAUAUCGGGAGGAACACCGGUGGCGAAGGCGGUUCUCUGGGCCUGUACUGACGCUGAGGAGCGAAAGCGUGGGGAGCGAACAGG
rnacentral:rRNA from 1 species